rnacentral:lncRNA from 1 species
CCUCUUCUCCUCAUCAUUCUCUCUCUCAAUCAACUUUACAUAAGCCACCUUUUUUGUCUCUAUCUUUCUUUUAAUUUCUCCAUUAACUUCUUUCUUGAUAUCUUAUGGCAAAUAGAUGAUGCGAAUAAUUUGAUUUAUUUAGUUUUAUGGUCGCAAUCUUUCCCAAAGAAACAUCCUUACGGCUGAGGAAAAGGAGGAAGCAGAAGCGCAGGCGGGAAUUAGCUUUUUGGGGAGAUAGCAGUGAAUACAGAGAGAGAAAGGAAAAAAUAGAACUUAUCAAAAUAUCUAUUAGAUUUAGGUAUAUCAAAUUUAAUUGGAAAAUAUUAAGUAGUGUGGUCAGAUUAUGUAAUUUAUCUAAAGUAGAGUGAGAUUUAGUACUCAUGAAGGAUGUAAGAUUAUUUAGGUGAUUUUUUCUAUUUAAAAAAUCUAGCUUAAUUAGUAAAACAUAUAUUGAUCACAAAGUACACUUUCGUGGUUUUCUUUUAGACAUUGUUUGAGCCAUGAAGAGCAUUAAACUUGAACCACCGAUUUAAAAUAAAUCUAUGAUGAAGUUAACUUAUUAAAUAUAUGUUUUGUGGCUUCAAUUCAAGCUCCAAUUUGUGGGUUGUUGUCUGUCCUUAUAUCAUGGGUAACCGUUCAUGCGUUUUUUCUCUUCCUUUUUUAACUGUAGGUGUUUCUCUAAUUCCUUGAGCAUUGCUAAAUUUUUCAAAAUUCUAAGAAGAAUAGUACAUAAUACAAAAAAUAGGGAAAAAUAUAUAAAGGUCAUUUAGGAAGAAAAAUGGCACGUCAAAUAGUGGCUCUUGCUCUAAUCAUUUUUGUUGUCUCCUUCAGAAUGGCCUCCGCAAUAUCGAAUGCCCCCGCAUCUUCUUCUAGUGUUGCGGGAAGCCCAGUUGAUAACAGCGUCAUUGGUACCCUCGACGGAACGGUAGGAGGUGCUGCACCAGUUGGUGGACCAGUUCCUGAAGGUGCUUUCGCCAACCUAUCUCCGGAAUCACAAUCUAGUGGCUCCAUCAUUACCCCUCAACUCCCCACCAUUUUCUCUGUCGUCGUCUCAGCUGUUGUGGCUAGUUCCUUCCUCUUCUGAAAGAUACAUCUUUACAAUAAGCCGCCAUAUCAUUUUCUCUGCUUUCAUAUCCAUUAAAUAAAUUGAGCUCAAUUGUCACAAUUUAUGUAUUGAACUCUUUCUUUAUACCGGUCUUUGUUUGUCCUUGAUUUAUUGUUGGACAAUUAUUAUCAUAAGGCAGCGUCAGAAAUAAAAGUAAAUAGUAUUAGAUCAGUUUUUUAUCUCGUAAUGAGCACCCAAAGUGAAGUACACUAUAUGCAACCUUGAUGUUUACAUCUUUCUCUAUUAAUUAUUCGAAAAUUAAUUCUGUAGUACCUGUCGCCCAUGUGCUUAUAGUUGCCAUUACUUCCUUAUUUCACAUUUAAAUUAGGUGGUUGUAAUUAUAUAUAAUGAGAAACUAUUAAACAUAAUGAUUGAAUACUUACCAUUUAUUAAGUUAAUUCAUACUCCACCGUUUAAAAAGAAAAUGACUUAUUUUGACUUGAUACAGAAUUUAAAAAAAUAAAGAUAACUUUUAAAUCUUAUUGUUUUAAAUUAAAAUUAUUAUAAAUAUAUCAAAAUAUAUUUAAUCUUAUGGACUUAAAUAUGUCAUGUGAACUGUUGAAAUUAAAGAGCUAUUAAAAAAGGAAAUGAUCAUUCUUUUUUAAAGCAAAUUAAAAUAAAACAUAGGUCUUUUUUUGUUUAAUGGAGAAAGUACUAUAAUGUUUUGUUAAAAUAACAAAAAUAAAAUAUUUCUUACUUACCUUUUCUCUAAAGUACAAUAGGUAAUAAAGCAUAUUUGGCAUGUUUGUUAAAAAAAAUUGUAAAAAUAAUUAACACGUUUAAAAUUUUAAGAACUAAUUAAUUAUUUUUUUAAUUAUACUCAUAUUAGUUUAAAAAAUUUAUAAUUAUUUAGAAUAUAUAAGUCUAAAUAAAAUAAAAGAAAACCCACAAAGAUUAGCCUACCUAAUUACCUUAAUAUCUAGUAUUGAAGCAAAAUUAAUAAUCCAUUUAAAAUCUAGAAGAAUGAGACACAUACCACCUAAUUAUGAUAAAAUCAGAUUUAGAUAUCCACCAAAAUAUUAUAAAUAUGGUUUNNNNNNNNNNNNNNNNNNNNNNNNNNNNNNNNNNNNNNNNNNNNNNNNNNNNNNNNNNNNNNNNNNNNNNNNNNNNNNNNNNNNNNNNNNNNNNNNNNNNNNNNNNNNNNNNNNNNNNNNNNNNNNNNNNNNNNNNNNNNNNNNNNNNNNNNNNNNNNNNNNNNNNNNNNNNNNNNNNNNNNNNNNNAUAUAUAUAUAUAUAUAUCAAUAUGAACUAUUUACAAUAAAAUAAACAAAGAAGAAUUUAUAAUAGAUGAAAAAAUAUAUGAAAAUCACGAAGGAUUAAAAAUAAAAAUAGCAUUUUCUAAUCUAGGAAGAAGAUAUAAGAAAAUAGGUGAACAUUUAUACUUAAUGCUAGAAAAAGAAGAGUUAAAAUUAGAAGAUAAAUUGACAGCUAUGGUGAGAAUAGAAAAAGCAUUACAAAGAAAUAGAUAGAAAAAAAGAAAUAGAAAAAAUAAAACAACAAACUACAGAAGAAAUAGAAAAAAUAGAAGAAACUAAAAAUAGUAGGAUCGCUGAUUUAGAAAAAGAACUACAAAUGCUAAAAGAUCUAUAUAAAAAAGGACAGAAAGAAAAAAGAAGAAAAAGAUAAAGAACAAAAAUUAUUAAAUGAGAUAAAUUAAUUUAAAGAAAAAUUAGAAAUAGUCAAUAAAGAAAUAGAAACCAAGGAAUUAGAAAUUAAUACAAUAGAUGUUGAAGAAACAAAUAAUUAUGAUUCGGAAAAUAGUGGAACAUAUACAGAAAUCUUAACAAAUACAAAAAAUUUAGGAAUCAGUGAAAAACAAGAAGUAAUUAAUGAAGAAAACUUAGAAAAUAUAAACACGAAAAUAAACACUCUUAAUAAAAAAGAAGAUGAAAAUAUAAUACCUAGAACAUCAGAANNNNNNNNNNNNNNNNNNNNNNNNNNNNNNNNNNNNNNNNNNNNNNNNNNNNNNNNNNNNNNNNNNNNNNNNNNAAAACAAAUAGUUAAUAAAAAUUAUAACUUUUUAAACUUAGAUUGUGUAAUAGAUACAGAAAAAAACAAUAUAAUUAUGGAUAGGAUAUAUGACAAAGCAAUUAUUAGAUAACAAUAUAAAUGUAAAAGAUGCACCAGAAUAUAUAGAAAGAACACUAAUAGGAACAGUGAAAUUAUGGUUUUUAAAUCUAACUGAAAAUAGUAAAAGAGUAUUAAGUACUGACAAACCCACAGAAUGAACAUCAUCAACAACCACAACUAAACUAACACCUAUAGAAAUAUUAAAAAAAUAUGAAAUAGUUAUAAAAGAUGAAUUUAGUAGGAUGACAACAACAGAAGAAGAACAAAAUGAAGAGAAAGAUACAAAUAGGAAUUUAAUGUUAAAAUUAGCAAUAUGUAAUAUGUGCUACAUAAAUGAAUAUACUUGCUCAUUUAAAGAAUAUUAUUAUAAAGGAGCAUAUAAUACAGAAGAAAGUAAAGAAAUAAGAAAAUUAUAUUUUAAUAAAUUAUCUGAACCAUUUAGUUCAAAAAUAAUAAAAAGUUGGGAUGAAACAAAAAUAAUAGAUACUCUAAGAGCAAGAAUAAAUUUUUUACAACAAUGGUAUAGAAACCUAUGUGAAAAAUAUAGAGAAAAAAUAAAAAUGGAAAAAACAUUAAUAAGAAAUUUAGCAUGUUGUAAAGAUAAAAUAACACCUCAAUUUGCAUGCGAAGAAAGAGAUUAUAAGAAAAGAAAAAGGCCGCAAUUUCCCCAACUCGUUGAUAUCGUUAAAUUGCUAAAGUUAAGCAUCGUCCCAUUUGUCCCUCUCAUGCUCGCUUUAUUUAUCUCCUUUAUCCUUCAUGGACCUCUCCAGUUUUAUUCCAAUAGGCUUCCACCAAAUCAUCGAAAUUGAUGAGCAAUUUAUGAGUUCAAUUGUUUGGGAAUUAGUCGCAAUGGAGAUGGUAGUCGAUAUGUGAAGCUGAUUUCCUCCAUUUCAAUAUAAAUUGUAGAGUUAUUUUUUGAAAUAUUUAAAAUAAAUAAAUUGUUCAUUCUUCAAAAAACAUGUUGAAAAUUUCUUUACAAUUUUACCAUUUCAUUUUUUUUACAAUUUUACCAUUUCAUUUAAUGUGUUUCUUAUGUACUUCACAUUUUUUAAAAGAACAAUUUAAGAACAAUUAAAAGAAUAAUAGUAAAAUAUAAUAUACAAUUUAUGUCCUAAGAGAGUUUUCUUAAGGGGUGUUUUAUGCCCAACAAUUUAAUAAUUUUGGAAUCGAGGGAACAGUAUAAUAUUGUUGUCAUGCAUUUUGUGAGGAUUUGAUUUUGUGGUUAUGCAGAUCUCUACAGAAAAUUGAAAUAAAUAAAUAAAUUUAUCUUUAAUUAUUUCAUGUUCAUUAGACUCGGUGCUGACAAAAUAAACCCAUAAUUUUCCACACGCCCAUUCCGCUCUUAUUUUAGCAAGUUAAGUAGGUGAUAGAUGAGAUGGAUAAAAUUUGUGUUUCAACUCAUAUUUAAUGCAUGAAAAUAUAAAUAAAAAUGGGAAAAAACAGAUUAGCCAAAUUUAUUAGUUAAGAAUUUCCAAGCAACUGAAAGCAAAGUAUUGCUUGUUCAUUUUAGUUUAAAGUUGAUCUUUUUAGGAAAAUGGAAAAUAAUUUUUAUUUUCUUGUAUUUUUCAAUGGUGCACUAUAUAAUAAAAAUUAGUGACCAAUGUUGUUAUUGUCAUCGUCGUCGUCGUUUUUUAAGCCCAUGUAGUUUUUGUAAGGAUAAACCCCACGUACCUCUAUCUACAAAUUUAAUGGAUGCUUCUUGAUGCCUACGGCUUAGGGAUUCCAAAUCUUUAAUUUGUUUUGAAAACCCACGGUUGAAUCUUGAUUUAUUUGGAUUAUCAAUAUGAAACCCUAGAGAGUGUUCUUGAAUAUUUUUGGUGAAUGUAUGAGUAAUAUGCUCAAUUGGGGUUGAAAUCUCUUGUUUGGAAUGAUAAGGGUGUGGAAAAAUAUCCAAUAUUCCCUUAAUGAGAACGGUAUUAAAAUAUAAUUGGUAGCCCGAUUUCAUGGGCCACCGCGACGCGCUACUAUCGUGGUGGCUCACUCGAAAUUGACGAAUGGGAAUUAGGCCCACUCCGCGACGAGCCACCAUCGCGGAGUCCCACUGGAAAUUGACCAUCAUCAUUUACACCCUCUCCGCGAUGCGCCAAGGACAGGAAUGACGGUGUUUUACGACUAAGACUUAAAUUAACCAUAACUCCUUAAUCGAGUGUCCGUUUUGAACGCAUCUUAUGUUGAUGGAAAACUUAUUCAAUAAUCUACGAAAUGAAAAGUUGAAAUCUAAGGGAUUACACCAAAAAAAAAUAUAAAUCAUUCUAGAAGCCAAUGCUUGAUAUUUUAGGGAUAAAAUUUAGCUAAGAAAAAAAC